rnacentral:rRNA from 1 species
UGGAGGCAGCAGUGGGGAAUAUUGGACAAUGGGGGCAACCCUGAUCCAGCGACGCCGCGUGUGUGAAGAAGGCCUGCGGGUUGUAAAGCACUUUUAGUGGGGAUGAAAAGUACAGGGCUAACACCUCUGUAUCUUGACCUAACCCACAGAAAAAGCACCGGCUAACUCUGUGCCAGCAGCCGCGGUAAUACAGAGGGUGCGAGCGUUAAUCGGAAUUACUGGGCGUAAAGCGUGCGUAGACGGUAGCGUAAGUCGGGUGUGAAAGCCCCGGGCUCAACCUGGGAAUUGCAUUCGAGACUGCUCUGCUAGGGUGCGGAAGAGGGAAGCGGAAUUUCCGGUGUAGCGGUGAAAUGCGUAGAUAUCGGAAGGAACACCAGUGGCGAAAGCGGCUUCCUGGUCCAGCACCGACGUUCAGGCACGAAAGCGUGGGGAGCAAACAGGAUUAGAUACCCCGGUAGC